rnacentral:rRNA from 1 species
GGAGGCAGCAGUAGGGAAUAUUGCACAAUGGAGGAAACUCUGAUGCAGCGAUGCCGCGUGAGUGAAGAAGGCCUUUGGGUUGUAAAGCUCUUUCGUCGGGGAAGAAAAUGACGGUACCCGAAUAAGAAGGUCCGGCUAACUUCGUGCCAGCAGCCGCGGUAAUACGAAGGGACCUAGCGUAGUUCGGAAUUACUGGGCUUAAAGAGUUCGUAGGUGGUUAAAAAAGUUGGUUGUGAAAUCCCGAAGCUUAACUUCGGAACUGCAAUCAAAACUUUUUAGCUAGAGUAUGAUAGAGGAAAGCAGAAUUUCUAGUGUAGAGGUGAAAUUCGUAGAUAUUAGAAAGAAUACCAAUUGCGAAGGCAGCUUUCUGGAUCAUUACUGACACUGAGGAACGAAAGCAUGGGUAGCGAAGAGGAUUAGAUACCCUCGUAGUCCAUGCCGUAAACGAUGUGUGUUAGACGUUGGAAAUUUAUUUUCAGUGUCGCAGCGAAAGCAGUAAACACACCGCCUGGGGAGUACGACCGCAAGGUUAAAACUCAAAUGAAUUGACGGGGACCCGCACAAGUAGUGGAGCAUGUGGUUUAAUUCGAAGAUACGCGCAGAACCUUACCAACACUUGACAUGUUCGUCGCGGCUCUAAGAGAUUAGAGCUUUCGGUUCGGCCGGACGAAACACAGGUGCUGCAUGGCUGUCGUCAGCUCGUGUCGUGAGAUGUUGGGUUAAGUCCCGCAACGAGCGCAACCCUCACUUUUAGUUGCCAUCAUUUAGUUGGGCACUCUGAAAGAACUGCCAGUGAUAAGCUGGAGGAAGGUGGGGAUGACGUCAAGUCCUCAUGGCCCUUACGUGUUGGGCUACACACGUGCUACAAUGGCAUUCACAAUAGGAAGCAAGAUGGCGACGUCAA